ACCUCUCCCAACUCAUGGACAAUUUAGUUCCAGGAUGGGAGAGUGUGGGUGGCCUAUGUCCUUGUGUGGAUUCCCUGCAGAAGUGACCUCACCAGAACUCUGGUCAAAGGCCUGGAAGUGUAGUCCAGUCUGAAGGAGUGGGUUGAGGACCUCUCGAGUCCAGUGAGAUUACGAUGAGCCUCAGGCUGCUGGAGCAUUGAGCUGCUGUUUCUGUGACUCCCGUUACAGCUCCUGCUCCCCCAGGGAGAAGGCUGGAGCCUGUGUUCUGGGAAGCCAGCCUGUUAUCACUGCAAAUAUCUCCAGCUGGAGGCCUCUAGCAUGCCAGGCCAGAAGCUCAUCUCUCUCACCAAAGGAAUGCUCUGUGCAGCUGGAAUGGCUCCCAUCUUCCUCCAUAUGGGCAGUUCAGCACAGCCAUCCUCUGCCCAGCCAUUCCCACCACAAAAGGAAGUCUGGGUAGCACUGUCACAGCUGCCCCAUGGCCUCUUCAGCCACAUUUGGGGUCCAUCUGGCAGAAUGGGAGAUUAAAUGCAAGCCUGUGAGAAACCUCAUUAGAUCCUACUGGCAGGAGAUGAACAAACUGCAGAGCAUGAGACAGAGCUCACAGAGGAGCAGUGGAGUAUGACCCAGGAAGUCUGUGCUGGCCAGAGAGGAGGUGGUGAGAAGCAGCAGUGCUGGUGCACUGCGCACGUCACAGCACAAAGCACCCUGUCGCUCGGUUCAUCUCAUGACCACUGUCGGGCACUUCUCAGUUUACUUCUCAUCCUUGCCACACCAGGUCCUGGUCCUGAUGCUUUACAGGGUGACUGGGCAGCUCUGUGGGUGUUCUUAUCACUCCACGUUAGACCGAAGCAAGCAGAGGUGCAGAGGUCUCACUGAAGCAGAUCAGCUCUACAUCUCUCCCUUAACCACAGUGUUGGGUUGUCUCCCAUGAUGUCAGGGGCAAGGCUGGGAAGAUGGCAGGCCUGAGUUCAGUGCCACUCCUCCUUCAGUGCCCCAGAUGUUGUACUCCUGGGGAUUUUUGCCACUUCAUCAAGACUCAGCACCAGUCCUUCCUUUUGUCCACGUCAGCACAGAGUUCCUCAUGGCCUCGGCCCCUCAGAACACAGAAGAAGCUACCUGGACUGGACCGAGCAGAGGAAGCACACGUGUCUGUACCUCUAGGGGCUACUUGCUCUCCCCAGACUCACCCUGAGGUUUCAGCAUUUUCUCUUUCUGCCCACGUUUCCCACUCUGUCACCUCCCUUCUCUGCAGCCCUGUUUCUUUAUCCAGUCACAAGGGAGAGGGAGCGAAGCCCUCUAUCUUCUGCUUCAGUAUCUGUCAGGAGUUUGUACUAAGAAAAGGUACUUUCUAUUGGGGUACUUCUUGCUGAACCAAGGCUCCCCAUUUUGUGGCUACCGUGUCUUUGCCCUGAUGGAGAAUAUGAGGGCAGCCGAGGAGUGGGUGGCUCUGUGCCCCUGCACCCCCUGUCCAUCGUCCGACACUUUGUUAGCAAGGCUGGGGCCAUGGCAGCUGCUCCACCUGAGCUCAGAUGUUCCGGUGCAGGAAGCUGGGAGGAGCCUCGCCUGCUAUACCACUGCAGCCAGGAUCUGAUUUUGACACCCUGGGAGCUCUUUUCCAGUGAAGCCUGAAAAAAAAUUGUCUCAGGCUCCAAAAUGCAUGCAUUGGCUUGAGGUUGAUGGAUGAUGAAUUGAUCUGUUUUUACAAAUAAAGCUCAUGCAUUUUUUUUCCUCUUCAAAUUCUGAAAAUGGCAGUCUCCUUUCUCCUCAGGGCUGAGAAGAACAGCUGGUCUGACUCAAGCCCCUUUAUGGUUUCCAGAGAAGCCGCUGGCUGAAAACAGAACAUCUGGUUUAUGUAAGAGGCACAGCUCAGACUUGGCUACAAAGAACUGAUUUCAUCUGAGGGAGGCUUCUCACAGUAGUUGAUCAGUUUUCUGAGGGGGUGCUUUUUCAGGAUAAAGAAGAGAAAAUAAGGAGGAGGGAUGUGAUGCCAGCUGCCCCGGGCUCUUGCUCUGAAUAGUGGCUUCUUCCUCCUCAGCACUCCUUGUUCCUCCUUACAGUCAGCCUAAGUGCCCCACCACCAUGCCAGAUUCCCUGUCUGAUUUAGAUCUCUUUGUUUCUCUUUAAAAAUAAAAAUUAUUUUAAUACUCA